CCUACGGGAGGCAGCAGUGGGGAAUAUUGCACAAUGGGCGAAAGCCUGAUGCAGCAACGCCGCGUGAACGAUGAAGGCCUUCGGGUCGUAAAGCUCUGUCCUCAAGGAAGAUAAUUACGGUCCUUUAGCAGGAAGCCCCGGCAAACUACGUGCCAGAAGCCGCGGUAAUACGGAGGGGCCUAGCGUUAUCCGGAUUUACUGGGCGUAAGGGGUGCGUAGGUGGUUUCUUAGGUCAGAGGUAAAGGGCUAGGGCUAAACCGUAGUAAGCCUUUGAAACUGGCGAACUUGAGGGCAGGAGAGGAGGGUGGAAUUCGUAGUGUAGCGGUGAAAUGCGUAGAUAUUA
rnacentral:rRNA from 1 species